rnacentral:rRNA from 1 species
AUUGAACGCUGGCGGCAUGCCUUACACAUGCAAGUCGAACGGUAACAGGUCUUCGGAUGCUGACGAGUGGCGAACGGGUGAGUAAUGCAUCGGAACGUGCCCAGUAGUGGGGGAUAGCCCGGCGAAAGCCGGAUUAAUACCGCAUACGACCUGAGGGUGAAAGGGGGGGAUCGCAAGACCUCUCGCUAUUGGAGCGGCCGAUGUCAGAUUAGCUAGUUGGUGGGGUAAAGGCCUACCAAGGCAACGAUCUGUAGUUGGUCUGAGAGGACGACCAGCCACACUGGGAAUGAGACACGGCCCAGACUCCUACGGGAGGCAGCAGUGGGGAAUUUUGGACAAUGGGCGCAAGCCUGAUCCAGCAAUGCCGCGUGCAGGAAGAAGGCCUUCGGGUUGUAAACUGCUUUUGUCAGGGAAGAUAUCUUCUGGGUUAAUACCUCGGGAGGAUGACGGUACCUGAAGAAUAAGCACCGGCUAACUACGUGCCAGCCGCCGCAGUAAGAC